UCUCUAGUGAUACACACCCACCAACAUCUAGUGUUUCUAUCGACGGAGGAAGUUCUGGUAGAGAUUGAAGCUCCCUGCAAUGAUGCAAGUCUAGAUGUCUCAGCAUUGUAAGAUUCUUGAUGCUUUUAGGCAAGGUCUCAAUGUGAGUGUGUCCUAGAUGUAACUUUUCAAGUUUGUGUUGAAGUCCAAUUGAUGAAGUUGUAGAGGGAUAGAGAACUAAGGGAGCUUAAAUGGGUAUUAUUGCUUUGAAGGCUUGUAAGGGAAAUGCAUCCCGUCAGAUCCAGUUUCUUAAGCUUUUUGAGAGAGAAAACAGAUGGAUGGACACUAGUCAACCCUACACAGAAACGGAGGUCUAUUACUGUAAGACUUGUGGCCUUUGAGAAGUCUGGGAGCUCUGUUAGGAGUGUGGAUGAAUGAAGUGUAAGGACAUUCAAAUUCAUAAGAUCCUGUUCCAUUUAGAACCAACCAAGACAAUACCCGUGAGCCAAUUGAUUCUGAAUUAAUCUGAAUGCUAAUGCUGGAAUAUAUAUUAUUUAAAUAAAAACUUGGACGGCAAGGAUUCCAAAGGGUAAUACUCCCAACGAAGAUAUCUCAGUUCAUCAGAACCAUUCAAUGGAAACGAUUGGUAUAGCUAAUCUGCAGAGAGCACUGCAUGCACUUGAUUCUGCGGUUACUCUCCCAAGUUCUUCUUGUAAUUCCACUGUUAAUAAUAAUUCUUUUGAAUUGUGGCACUUAAGAUUAGGCCAUGUUUCUGAUACAGGCUUGCAAGCCAUUUCUAAACGUUUUCCUUUCAUUCCUUGUAAAAAUAAUGUCUCCUUGUGACUCUUGUCACUUUGCUAAACAAAAUAAAUUACCUUUUCAAAACAAUGUAAGUGUUUCUUCUAUCCCUUUUGAAAUUUUACAUGCAGAUUAUGGGGCCCUUA